GCUGAAGGAUCUCUAAGCUACGGUGUGGGC
rnacentral:piRNA from 1 species